rnacentral:rRNA from 1 species
UAACGCGAAGAACCUUACCAGGCCUUGACAUCCUUUGAAGCUUUUAGAGAUAGAAGUGUUCUCUUCGGAGACAAAGUGACAGGUGGUGCAUGGUCGUCGUCAGCUCGUGUCGUGAGAUGUUGGGUUAAGUCCCGCAACGAGCGCAACCCUUAUUAUCAGUUGCCAGCAUUAAGUUGGGCACUCUGGUGAGACUGUCGGUGACAAACCGGAGGAAGGUGGGGAUGACGUCAAAUCAUCAUGCCCCUUAUGACCUGGGCUACACACGUGCUACAAUGGAUGGUACAACGAGUUGCGAACUCGCGAGAGUAAGCUAAUCUCUUAAAGCCAUUCUCAGUUCGGAUUGUAGGCUGCAACUCGCCUACAUGAAGUCGGAAUCGCUAGUAAUCGCGGAUCAGC